rnacentral:pre_miRNA from 1 species
CUGUCUCAGAGCCUGGAACAGGGGGGCAGGAGGGGCUCAGGGAGAAAGUGUAUACAGACCCUGGCCCUCUCUGCCCUUCUGAUCCCUGGCCC